rnacentral:tRNA from 1 species
GGAGGGGUAGCGAAGAGGCUAAACGCGGCGGACUGUAAAUCCGCUCCUACCGGGUUCGCAGGUUCGAAUCCUGCCCCCUCCA